UUGCUUCAGUAGCACACAUACUAAAAUGGGAACGACGCAGAGAACCUUAGCAUUGGCCCCGGUGCAAAGCUGACACGUAAAUCCAUGAAGUGUUCCACAUUUCC